AGACCAAACUCAAGCAAGUGAGAACUGUGUUACUGUGGAUUUCUAAGGCUCUGAAUUAAUGUCUAGCAUCUAAGCUAUUGUCUUUUAAAAUACCGAAGACCUAAGAAAGGUUAACUUUAGUCUUUUCAGGUCAGUUCACAGGGGCUUCUCUUGCAUAGUGUAUUCGGCAAUUCACAGGCCUUCUUUAACAUACGGAUUCAUUGCUAUUACUAAGGAAUUGAGAUGAGCAGAUUUUGACUUUUGCUGUGUUGUGAUGAUUUUUAAAAAUUAGGAGCAGUGAAAAGGGAACUGUCUUUCCUCCUAACAAGACAUAAUAAAAGAUUAUUUCAAUUUGCGUUGAGAUCUUAAAGUUUAUGUACUUUGGCAAACACCUACGAAGCAAUUGGGCAAUUUUUACUCUUCACCUUUAAUUUAAGUAGCAAAAUGUAUUUUCCUUUUUUAGAGGUGACCCACCAAUGUGCAGGGGGACGAAUGCAGCCUUUAAGCAUUACUUCGAAGAAACUUAAUCUCGGGGGAUUUUGAUUUCUAAAAGUAAACAUACUUUAUAUUGCUUGUCUUCAGGUUAUCAUCUUAAACUGAAGAGAGUUCCUGCUUCAUAAUGAUGGUGGGCAUGAAGCCAGCAAAUAUUUGCCAAGAUGUUCUUCUGUGAUAAUUCACUGCAGGGCAGAAACCAUAAUCAACUGUUUACAAGCACUGAAGCUGUUCUCUCAAUUAAAAUAUUUUAAAUAACAUUUAAAAUAUUAAUGCUAAUGUAUUUAUUUAAGAAAAAAAUGUUUAUUCAGGUUAGUUCACAUGAUUCAUUUGAUAGUGAUGUCACUACUAUCUGUUUUGUUCGUUGAAGUGUGAAAAUACUGGUGUUAAUGCUUAGGAAAAUGCAAGAAAGAAGGAAAACUUAAAUUUUGCCUAUUUUUAACAUCUUAAAUUCAUAUUAGAAAAAUGAUUAUAACUCUUUGUAAUAGAGACUCCACUACAAAGCACCCCAGAUUAUGAUCACUUUCAAAUAAGAACUCAGAAGAGAGUCCAGUGAGAAGUAAGGAUUUAGGGGAAAUGGGUUUCAAGAAAAUCAGCAGUUAUAUUGAGACUUCUAGUGGGGGCAGUAGUGCAGAACUGGUCCAGCCCAGAACAAGGUACUGAUGGAAAGACACAGGCAGGCAUUACAGAGAAACAGCCUGUCAUGCAGCUUCAUAGUUUAUCUAGCUCACAAAGAUUUUCCAAAGAUUUCAUAAACAAGAUAUUUUUUGUACCCUUAGUCAGUCUUCUCAACUACACUGUCCAGAUUGACUGCUGCCAGCUAGUCAGUUAUCUCAUUUUUUUAGAUGUGCGAACAAGUCUCUCUUCCCAAGACUAUAAUUAUCUUUCUCUCCCUUCUUUCCUCUUUCAAUAAAUCCUGUUUUCACCUUUGUGAGGUGAAAUCAAUCUACUGUUUUACCUCUUUAUGAACAAGGAAACGGUGUGCUACAAUUUUGUGACUUUUGAGUUAUUCUUUGACACUACUAUGAAUCUUUCCUAAAGACUCUUUGCACUGUUGAAGGAUUGUCUUGGGUUAUGAGCUAAGGGGCAGAGAAGGAAAUGCUAAAUGAAAGUUAACUUUGCCAUAUAGGAAAGAGUUUGUUAUUUGCAACAAAAAAUUAGAAACAUAAGGCUACUACCUGUGAAUUUUUCUCUUGUAGAUACCAAUUUUUUUACUGUGUAAUACAAGUUUUAAAGGUUAUACCACAUUUAGUUAUAACAAAAUAUUGGCCAUAUUCCCUGUGUUGCACACUACAUCCUUGUAGCCUGUCUUACACCUCAUAGGUUGUACCUCCCACUCCUCUACCCCAUGUUGUCCCUCCUCCCACUAGUUUGUUCUCUACAUCUGUGAGUCUGCUUUUUCGUUAUAUCCAUUAGUUUGUUGUACUUUUAGAUUCCACAUAUAAGUGAUAUCACACAGUAUUUGUCUUUCUCCAUUUGGCUUAUUUCACUUAGCAUAAUGCCCUCCAAGUCCAUCCAUGUUGCUGCAAAUGGCAAAAUUUUUCUUUUUAUAGCUGAGUAAUAUUCCAUUUUAUAUAUGUACCACAUCUCUAUCCACUCAUCUGUUAAUGGACACUUCGGUUGCUUCCAUAUCUUGACAAUUGUGAGUAAUGCUGCUGUGAACACUGGGAUACAUGGUAUAUGCCAAAUUUUUAAAAAUAUUUAUAUCUUCACUACUUGAAACAUUCCUGUCCCUAGCUUUAAUUAUUCUUGUCAAUGGAAUCAUUUUCCACUAUUACAGUGUGCCCAUUCUUUUACAGCUCCAUUCAAGCUUACCUCAUAUAGUUUGUGCUAGGCAUUUUACAUGAAUUAAUUCUACCCAGGAAGCACAGAGAAGUUAACUCACCCAUGGUUGGACAUACGUUAUUUGGCAAAUUACCUACUCCUCUCCUAGACAUUACCUUCCUUAACCACCUUACCAUUCUAUAGCUCUUGUUACCUUUGUCAUGCAGUUUGUACUUAUUUAUCUAUCUUUAACUUUCUUGGUUAUUACAUGCAGAUCAGUCUCUUCAUCCCAGCUAGACAAAAAUGGCUGCAUAGUGGCUUCUUCUUUAGCAUCAAUUUAUAUAUACUGUGUGUGUGUGUGUACAGUAUAUAUAGCAUAUACACAGUAGCCCAGUGACAGUCUUGUAGAUUUUGAUGAAACUUGAUGAUUUGACUUAAAUGAUUUUAAAAGAUUUUACUAAAAUGAAUAAUAAUGUAACUAUGCUGGUAUUUCAUUUUGAGGAAGGUAGAUACAAAUAUUUUAGCUAUGAAUCAUAUUUUACAUUUUUGCAUAUUAGAAUACAGAAAUUUUUGUAUAGAACAGAGCUUCUUUUCUUGGCAAUUGUCAAUAAAACUCACUGCACGGGAAAAGAUGCAUUAGUAACUUAUGAUUCUAUGGAAAAUAGCCACAGAAAAUGCUAUGAGACUCUAAGAGCUAAUUUUGAUUUGCUGUGUGAUAAGGAGUUUAACAGAAGUUCAAAUAUAAAUUGAUGCAGUCAAAUGGGAAUGACUUUACUAAAUAGUACAGUAAACUCUGAAAUAUCCCUUAUUGUUGCUCUUGUGAACAGUAAGGUUUUUUUUUUUUUUCUGAGUUAUAUGGUUUCUGAUUACAGGUAACCUUGUUUUAUUGCAUUUUGAUUUAUUGCACUUCACAGAUAUUGUAGUUUUUACAAACUGAAGGUUUAUGGCAACCCUGCAUCAAGCAAGUCCAUAGGUGCCAUUUUUCCAACAAAUAUUUGCUCACUUGUCUAUCAUAUAUUGGUAAUUCUUGUAAUAUUUCAUAUUUUUUCAUUAUUAUAUUUGUUAUAAAUAUAAAACUUUCAUAGAUGAGGAGGUGCUUCUCAUGAAUGAGCAAAGAAAGUGGUUUCUUGAGAUGCAACUAAUCCUGGUGAAGAUGCUAUGAAGACUGUUGAAAUGACAACAAAGGAUUUAGAAUAUCACAUAAACUUAUUUGAUAAAACAGUGGCAGUCUGUGACGGUUGACUCCAAUUUUGAAAAACACUCUACUAUAAGUAAAAUCCUAUAUAGUACCCAAUAUAGUACAGGGAAAUUGUUCAUGAAAGAAGGGUCAAUCUGCAUGGCAAACUUCAUUAUUGUCUCAUUUUAAGAAAUUGCCAUGGCCACCCCAGCCUUCAGCAGCUAUUAAUCCUGAUCAGUCAACAGCUAUUAACAUCAAGGGAAGACCCUCUUCCAGCAAAAAAAACUACAGCUCCUUGAAGGCUCAGAUAACAGGUAACAUUUUUUUUAACAACAAAGUAUUUUUAAAAUGAGGUAUGUGCAUUUUUUAGACCUAAUGCUAUUGCAUACUUAAUAGACCACAGUUUAGUGUAAACAUAAUUUUAUGUGCACUGGGAAGCAAAAAAUAUCAUAUGACUUGCUUUAUUGAGAUACUCAUUGUAGUGGUCUGAAAAUGAAUGCAUAUUAUCUCCAAGGAAUCCCCAUAUAUAUAUUCAUCGUAGCUUACAUUUAUUUUGUGUCUUCUAUAUACUUGACACCUAAACUUAAUGUGUUAUCUCAUUUAAUCCUCACAACAUCCCUGUGAGAUGGUAAUGUUAUACCUCCAUUUGAUUUUAUCUCAGAAGGUACUGAAGCAAAGAGGAAUUCAGUCGUUUAUCCAAAGUCACACAGCCACAAUCUGAAGCCAGGUAAUCUGACUCUUGAUCCUGUAUACUCAUUCAUCAUAUUAUUCUGCAACCCUAUACAACAUAUAUAAUGAGAUGGCACUUUCUUAGAAAUAAGACCAUCCAAAUUGAAUGUUAAAUCUUCCCCCAUCUUCCUGUUCCCCUUCCCACACCCACAAAGUAGUGACUUAUUGGGGAAGUGCCCUGUUACUAAGGGAAAAAACAAGAAUUCAUGAUCCUCACCUCGUGCCUUAGAUCAGCAUCAGGUUAAAAGUCCUUUUUUGUUGUUAAUUUUGUUACUGGUGUUUAUAUACCCAGUCUUAUUACAGGAGGGCACAAGGCAUAGGCUGCAGUUCCACCUGUCUUUCAGGAGUUACAUAAAUCUGGGCAAGUAAAAGAAAAUAAUUCUUAAAAUGUUUUAAUUUUUAAAUUCUUGGGAAUGCAUAUAUUAAAUUGCAUGAUGUAGUUAGAUCGAUAUACCUGACCUAUAGAAUAAAUAGUUCCUUACAUUUUUUGUAGGUUAACUUUGUUUAAGGUACAUGGUUUACAGGUAUUUUAUUCCAUUCCAUUGGUUGCCUUUCCAAACAGUUGAUUACUGAUAAAAUAAAAAUUCUAAGUAU
rnacentral:lncRNA from 1 species